rnacentral:rRNA from 1 species
AUGGAACGGCUCCAAAAUAAAGACACCCAACCGCAGUCCAUACUCCUAUUUCCCCCAUCUCGCCUGUUCUUCUUCUUCCCCUCCCCCAAGCAAACGAGAAGGAUCAAUGGCCGCUCGGAUCACGAGGCUGCUCCACCACCACAACCGCCGCCUCCUCGCCACCGCGGCAGAGGCCUCCGCUCGUCGCCUGCCGCGCGCUCCACUUGGCGGCGCCAUCUACAAGGAUGUUGCAAAGGCUGA